GAUGAACGCUGGCGGCGUGCCUAAUACAUGCAAGUCGAGCGAACGGACGAGAAGCUUGCUCCUCUGACGUUAGCGGCGGACGGGUGAGUAACACGUGGAUAACCUACCUAUAAGACUGGGAUAACUUCGGGAAACCGUAGCUAAUACCGGAUAAUAUUUUGAACCGCAUGGUUCAACAGUGAAAGACGGUCUUGCUGUCACUUAUAGAUGGAUCCGCGCUGCAUUAGCUAGUUGGUAAGGUAACGGCUUACCAAGGCAACGAUGCAUAGCCGACCUGAGAGGGUGAUCGGCCACACUGGAACUGAGACACGGUCCAGACUCCUACGGGAGGCAGCAGUAGGGAAUCUUCCGCAAUGGGCGAAAGCCUGACGGAGCAACGCCGCGUGAGUGAUGAAGGUCUUCGGAUCGUAAAACUCUGUUAUUAGGGAAGAACAAAUGUGUAAGUAACUGUGCACGUCUUGACGGUACCUAAUCAGAAAGCCACGGCUAACUACGUG
rnacentral:rRNA from 1 species